AGCAGGUGCAAUAAAAAUAGUUGGUGUUUCAUUAUAAAAUUUAAUAUAACUAAUAUGUACUACUGUACUGACACACAAGAUAUGUAUCAGCUUUAUCAAGUUAUAACUAACUAUUUGAUUUACUUCUCAUGUUUCAGAAUUAUUAAUUGAUGUGAACUGUUAAUUUAAACUCGACAACUUGCGAUGAUUGAUUUCAGGGACAGAAGCUCUCUUUGCCGACUUAGCCAAUUUUCCAGUCUCGUCGGUACAAAUUGCAUUUACUCUUCUUGUGUUUCCUUGCCUUCUUUUAGCGUAUUCUGGACAGGCGGCUUAUCUGGUGCAUAACUUGCAUCAUUCACAAGAUGUUUUUUAUCGCUCUAUUCCAGAAAAAAUAUACUGGCCAGUAUUUGUUAUUGCAACACUAGCAGCAAUAGUUGCGAGCCAAGCCACAAUAACAGCAACCUUUUCAAUCAUUAAGCAAGCCCUUGCUCAUGGCUGUUUCCCACGAGUCAAAGUCGUACAUACAUCGAAAAAGUUCCUUGGCCAGAUAUAUAUCCCGGAUAUCAAUUGGAUCCUUAUGGUUCUUUGCAUUGCUGUUACCGCUGGCUUUAAAAAUCAAAGUCAGAUUGGUAACGCAUAUGGUGAGGCUUCAGCUGGAAGCACUUUUUGGUGAGAAAGAAAGACUGCGAAUGAAAAUGAAAAUCUGAUGAGAGAAAACCAAUGCCUUCACCAGCUAGUGGAGUAUCAGCAAGACAGGCCCUUAAUUGAUGUGUUUGCAAAUGGUUGAAAAUCAAAAGGUUGAGGAGCAAAAUCUAUCAGAUCAAAUGCAAAUGGUUGAAGAGGAUAAGGAGAUAGAAAUGUUGUCAAAACAAAAGCCAAAGAAGAAGAAAACUUAUAUAUGAAGAAAGUGUUAUGACUUAGUUAAAAUAUGAUUUUUAUGUGUAAGUUUUAUAGUACUUGAAAUAUUAUAACUGUACAUGAUUUUGUAUAUUUUUUGGUUAAUAUUAAAAAUAUUUUGACUUAGUUAAAA